rnacentral:ncRNA from 1 species
GCUAUAAUUACUUUAGAUUGAGAUGCUGGUGCAGAUGUUGCAAGCUGCCAGCAGCCCUCGCACGGACAGAGAAGCAAGGAUACUUGUAAUCGUUCCCGUUGAUUUUAUCAGGAUGCUGUAAAAGGCAAAGCGAGUAGGCGUACGAUCAUUUCGAGAAGUCAAAAGCUAACAAAGCGUGGUCGGAAUAAUAGACGCUCCUGUGGAGAAUAACCUAUCAGACAGCUCUUUGGCAAGGGUGUGAAAACUUGAUAGGAAAGCCAAACAAUCCGAUUCGUAGUGAAGAGAUUAAAAUCUCGUAUAACACGCUAUGUUGAACAAGUAGCCCAAUCUACGUUUGAAGAUAAUUCUUUCCGAAUGGCAUUUAUUCAAAAAGAAAAAUCCGAAAGCGGGUGAAAGUUAGAGGUUUCAAGCCUCUUGUCUCAACGGGCAGCGGCGUUUGAGUCGUUGUCGGGCUUAACUGCAUUAGGGUAGCUCCUUAAUGCACGGGUUAAGUUCGGGCAUGGCCGAAGAUGAUGAGUCGGAUGAUUGUAGGGUGAACAAAAGCCCCUCAAUCUUUUUUUUUGUUG